UACGUAGGCAGCAAGCGUUGUCCGGAAUUAUUGGGCGUAAAGAGCUCGUAGGCGGUCUGUUGCGUCCGCUGUGAAAACUCGGGGCUUAACCCCGAGCCUGCAGUGGAUACGGGCAGACUAGAGGUAGGUAGGGGAGAAUGGAAUUCCCGGUGUAGCGGUGAAAUGCGCAGAUAUCGGGAGGAACACCGGUGGCGAAGGCGGUUCUCUGGGCCUUACCUGACGCUGAGGAGCGAAAGCGUGGGGAGCGAACAGG
rnacentral:rRNA from 1 species